GACAGAGGGUGCAAACGUUGUUCGGAAUUACUGGGCGUAAAGCGAGUGUAGGCGGUUUGGUAAGUCGGAUGUGAAAGCCCCGGGCUCAACCCGGGAAGUGCACUCGAUACUGCCAAGCUAGAGUAUCGGAGAGGUUGGUGGAAUUCUCGGUGUAGAGGUGAAAUUCGUAGAUAUUCGGAAGAACACCAGUGGCGAAGGCGGCUCACUGGACUGGUAUUGACGCUGAGGUGCGAAAGCGUGGGGAGCAAACAGG
rnacentral:rRNA from 1 species